rnacentral:rRNA from 1 species
AGACAGUUCGGUCCCUAUCUGUUGCAGGCGUUAGAAGUUUGAGAGGACCUCCUUUUAGUACGAGAGGACCGAAGGGGACGAACCUCUGGUUUACCUGUUGUGGCGCCAGCUGCAUCGCAGGGUAGCUACGUUCGGAUGAGAUAAGCGCUGAAAGCAUCUAAGCGCGAAACUCGCCUCAAGAUGAGACUUCUUUUAAGGGUCGUUAGAGAUGAUGACGUUGAUAGGUUGCAGGUGUAUAGGUAGAGAUAUCAUAGCCGAGCAAUACUAAUUACCCGUAGAU